rnacentral:lncRNA from 1 species
GCCAUUAGAGAAAAUAUUAGACAUAUGUAUCAUAGUAUUAUAUCGACAUAUAAAGUUCUGUGAUUAUCUUCGCUGCUACAAAUAAUUUUCAUAUUGUUACUAAUUAAUACACACAAGACACAAGUAAUACAUUAGAGAAACUAAAAUAAUAUCAAAAAGCAUAAGUAAUACUUACACGUGGUUCUAUGAACUUUAGCUUUUUACCCUGUAUAUUACGUUUCACAAAAUUGUAUCCCUCCAAAUCAUUACAUGAUGGUAAAAAUCAAACAUGAAUAAAACUUUUCAAGACUAAAGGUAAAAUUUGAGUAUUCCAAAUAAUACCACUUACGCACUUAAAAUCUUUUGUAUAUCUUCAUCAAGAUGACAAUGUAACCAGCAUAACAUAACUAUAAUAUUUUUCUUCUGACAUAAAAUAAUUAAUUGCAAAUGUUUGCUACAUAAAAACAUAGAAUAAUUACCAAUGUGUGUAUAAAAUUGAUUUAUAAAUGAAAACACAAAUUAAAUCAUAUACUUAAUUAUGGAUAAAUUAUGACAUGUAAUAUUCUUUAUUCUCUUUAACCAACUUGUUUGUAUGCGUAUAUGGAUAUUGUUGGUUAAAUUACCUUAAAAUUGAAUGUUCAAUGAAUCUAUGAAAUAAUAUGCUUUCAAUUUUCUUUCGACACUUGUCUCAUGCAUGACCCUAAUUAAAAGGUAAUGCAAAUGUCAAAAUUUUAUGUUAAAGUAUGAGAACAAUGAAUUAUGGAAUCUCGUCUAUCAUACUAAAUAAUCUUUUUCAUUUCCAUUUAGUUAGAUUUGCAAAUAAGAGUGUUAGAUUACAUUAUUUUAUUUCCUCUGAAUACUAUGUUGUAUGAUAUAAACAGAGAAAAUUAUUGUUUUAUUAGGGUGCUUGAGUAGAGGUUGUAUCUCGCUCCAACUGAAUUGAUAAAACAUCAUUCGUUUGUGAAACGUUUUUUAGUCGCGCUGAGGAAGAAGUAAGAUUCAUGGGUUGAAAUUAUUUUUAGGUUGAAGAUGAUUAUUCGAAAGGAAAGAUAUACUCCUUUUAUAGAUAAAAGUAAAAAUAAAAUUAGAGAGGAAAUGACUCGCUCGUAAUGAGCGUAUUGGCUCUCUGCAUUUUAAAACAGGGUUCUAGGGUCACAUCCUCUUCAAGUAAUUUCUUGACUAACAUGUAUCCUCUAUUUAAGACUCAUAUAAAGUUUGAAUAAAAAACUUUAUGACACAGAGAAAGAAAAUUAUUAAUAGAAGAGGUAACAAGUCUUGAAUGGAUAAAAUACAAAGAUUAUUAGUGAAAUAAAAUCUACUAAAGUACGAAUAUUCUGCUCUUACUACACACAAGUAAACAUUUAAUAUUAAUCUCCAUAAAAAAUUUCUUAUGGUUAUUAUAAAAAUAAACAAUUAAUUAUAUCUCCAUAGUUUUUUCAAAGGUUAUUAUAUGUGUAUUGAUAUUUUAUUUGUUUGCAUCUUUUAAAGGUGAACAAGGCCACCGUAACUAUUAAAAAGUAAGAGAAAUAUAAAUUGAAGAAUGAGAAAGAUCAAUAGCUUUAUAAUAUUAUUAUAUAAAUAUAGAAGUAUAAAAUUGUAAGAAACUUUAAAUUAUUUUCAAUUUAAUUUUUAAAGAUACUUUGAGAGGUGAUAGGAUGGAAAAGAAAAUGUGAUAUGCAUAAAUUGAAGGUCAUGAAUAUUUCUCUAAAAUUUAAAGUGAAGAAGAUACUAAAAAUAUUAUUACUAUGUUGUCCUAUUUCAUUUCAUUACAAUAAUACUAGUGUGUAAAUCCACAACUAUAGGUUGUGAAAAUAAAAUUUAAACAAAAAAAAUUAUUGGGGUAAAAAUACAAUAUCCAAAUGACAUACGACAACACAUAAAAUAUAUUAGGUGUUUGCGUCUUCUCUAGGGACUUUCAAUUAAAAACUAAAUUUGUAAACUCUUAAAGUAUUAUUAUCUCCUGGGAUUAAGCAAUCACGCACUAUUUUACAUUUACAAAUAAGUUUGCUUAUGCAUUUUCCUCUAUAAGGAGGCCGGCAAUAAUUUUUUUGAUAAUCUGAAUCAUCAAAACAUUCGAUUCUCUCUGCUGCAAUAAAAAACACUAUAUGGUUAUUAAAAUGAAAAAUAUAACGUAUGAAAUAAAACAGAACUUUAAAAUGAAUGAACAAAAGUUACCUUUAAUUUUCGUUCCAAUAAAAAUAGAAAGAAUAAUAUAAUCAUAACAUAAGAAAAUUAUUACUUCUACCAUAUUCUCCUCGUUAUUUUUAAUAAAUUAUUUUGUAACUUUAUAGUUAUGAAUAAGAGUGGAUCCUGCCUUUAAUAAUUUUUACUUGUGGACACUUAGUUGUAAAAUAAAUCUUAAAAUUAAAUUAAUUAGUAUAUAACUUUUCGAUACAUCAUUUUGUUGUCUUUGUCUCUUCAGCAUAUCCAAAAAAGAUGUAAAAUAAAACUUGUCUAUCAUAAAAAAUAUUCUUCUUAUAAAAAUUUUUAAUCAUUUUAUAUAUUUUACCUCGGAUGUGAAUGGGAGAUUACCUCAGUUAUAGAGAUGGAUACAAAGAGCGUCAUAAAAAACUAACAUCUUAUACGAUCGUUUUGAAUAACCGAGGGAAAGGUGAAAAAGUCAUUCAUUUGAUCCCCAGUGUAGGUCGGAUUUUUUAAUAAUUGAGGGGUAUAACCAAUGUUUUUAAAAUUCCAUUUUAACUGACCUUGAUCAUUUCUAUAUAGAUCCUACAAAUUAGGUGACAGAAUCAUAUCAAUUUGUAUUUUAUUUAGAAUAAAACAAAAUACCAAUUUUACAUUGUUAUAAAAGCAAAUGUACAAUCCUUGCAAUACUUAUCGUGAUAUUUGUAUACACAAAACCUAUCGCAAGAGAACCUAUACAUAUUUCACCUAAAUUGACAAAACAUUUACACAAUGCUAGUGAUAGUUAAAAAUCAAAGAAAAACUAGUGUUGACUAGAUUCAUAAUGACAUAAGAAGACACUUGCACAACGUGAUCGGAUGUCAUCUAUCUCCUCUGUGGAAAUGGUGUUUUAUUGCUAGACGCUUAUAAUUUGAACAAAAUUUAAAUUAUGAUAAGUUAACUACAACAAUAAUAAUUAACAAUUAACAAUAAUUACAUGUAUAUGGAUAAAGUUAAUACCUUAUUCAAUGAAUAAUAAUGCCAUUAGAGAAAAUAUUAGACAUAUGUAUCAUAGUAUUAUAUCGACAUAUAAAGUUCUGUGAUUAUCUUUGCUGCUACAAAUAAUUUUCAUAUUGUUACUAAUUAAUACACAAAAGACAAAGUAAUACAUUAGAGAAACUAAAAUAUCAAAAAGCAUAAGUAAUACUUACACGUGUUCUAUGAACUUUAGCUUUUACCCUGUAUAUUACGUUUCACAAAAUUGUAUCCCUCCAAAUCAUUACAUGAUGGUAAAAAUCAAACAUGAAUAAAACUUUCAACAGACUAAAGGUAAAAUUUGAGUAUUCCAAAUAAUACCACUUACGCACUUAAAAUCUUUUGUAUAUCUUCAUCAAGAUGACAAUGUAACCAGCAUAACAUAACUAUA